CGAGAUCGAUGGUAUAUUUCUG
rnacentral:miRNA from 2 species